CUCAAGCAAUGCAUACUACAUCAACACUGAAAAUGCAACUACAAUGCUAUGUAACUAGAUCAUGAUGCAAACAAGUCUCACAUUCUUCCAGCUAUAACAGAAUUUCAGUCCAACAUGCCUCAGUGAAUUAUCCAGAUUCUAGAAUGAAACUUCAAACUAAGCCAUAGACAUAAUAUCAUAUACUCAGGUAAUCCAUACAUGCUAUAAAAAUGUUGUGUGUAUGUGUGUGUUGUGUUCACCAAAACUUGACUAAAGCAAGA
rnacentral:lncRNA from 1 species